GCCGGAGUGCUCAAACUGGUAAAGAGGAUCGACUCAAAAUCGAUUGUCCUUCGGGACUUGUGGGUUCGACUCCCACCUCCGGCAUCA
rnacentral:tRNA from 1 species